UCUCAGGGCUGGGACGUGGGUCCAGGCAGAGAGAGAAGGGAAGGGGGCGGGCCUGUGCCGAUGUCCUCUCCCCUCCAGUCCCAGGGUCAAGUUUAUGGACAUGAUCCUCAGCCCACGCCCCUCCAAGCUCAGUGUGAAGAUUCCCUGGAGCAUGAGAGGGAGGUAGAGGUGGAUUUGACGCAGGAGAAGGCAAUGUGAUGACUACAGCAAGCUGCUACCCUGCCGGCUCUGCAGACAGAGGGAAGGGCCAGGAGCCCAGGAAGGCAAGGAAAGCACCUCUGGCAGGUGGAAAAGGCCAGGAUGCAGAUUCCCCCCCGGAGCCUCCAGAGGGAGCUCAGCUCGGCAGACGCCUUGAUUUCUGCCCGUGGAAACUUUGGACUUUGGACAUCUGACCUCCAGAAGCUUAAGGGACUAAUACGUUGUUUUCCAUUUGUUUAUUUUUCAUGUUUAAAAAGUUUUACUGAAGUA